UUCGCAAUGCCCGAAAGGGUGACGAAGCGACGCCGCGUGGGUGAGGAAGGCCUUCGGGUUGUAAAGCCCUGUCAGGAGUUAUGGAAUGUAAGUGCGCUAAUAUCGUGCUUAUUUGACAAAGGCUCCAAAGGAAGCCACGGCUAACUCUGUGCCAGCAGCCGCGGUAAUACAGAGGUGGCGAGCGUUGUUCGGAAUUAUUGGGCGUAAAGAGCACGUAGGUGGGUUUGCAAGUCAGAUGUGAAAGCCUUCUGUUCAACGGAAGAAUUGCAUCUGAAACUGCUAAUCUUGAGUAUAGGAGGGGAGAAUGGAACUUCUGGUGGAGCGGUGAAAUGCGUAGAUAUCAGAAGGAACGCCGGCGGCGAAAGCGAUUCUCUGGCCUAUUACUGACACUCAGUGUGCGAAAGCUAGGGGAGCAAACGGGAUUAGAUACCCCGGUAGUCCUAGCCGUAAACGAUGGGCACUAAGUAGAGGGGUUUUA
rnacentral:rRNA from 1 species